rnacentral:rRNA from 1 species
UACGUAGGGUGCGAGCGUUAAUCGGAAUUACUGGGCGUAAAGCGUGCGCAGGCGGGCUUUUAAGCCAGACGUGAAAUCCCGGGGCUUAACCUCGGAAUGGCAUUCAAUACUGCUUCGCUCGAGUACUGGAGAGGAGGCUGGAAUUUACGGUGUAGCAGUGAAAUGCGUAGAUAUCGUAAGGAAGGCCGGUGGCGAAAGCGAGCCUCUGGACAGUUACUGACGCUGAUGCACGAAGGCCAGGGGAGCAAACGGG